rnacentral:lncRNA from 1 species
UGGUGCUAUCCGAAGUCUUUGAAUCACCUUUUAUGUCUAUGGUUUUCCAUUGAGCAUAUUACUUGUAUUCAUGCAUCAUAGGGUAGUGAUAUUAUGCAAGUGAUAUUUGAAUAUGUGAAUGCUUAUCAAUGUUGAGAAAAUGUGAACUUAGAAUGUGGACAUGGAACCCUAUGAAUGUAUGGACUAUAGCAAUAGUAAACUUGGGGACAUUCAACUAGAGAUUUGGUUAGCAUCAAGAAAUGGAAUUGUGAAACUAGUAUAAAGAACUAGUUAGAGUAAAGUGUGACAGUGUUUGUCAGUUGAAUCCUCUAAAGGGGGAUCAGAUCAUACUCACAUUUGUUUGGUUCAAGUGAGGUCGCUCCUCCUUGAACGAUGAGCUCCGGAGUAGUCAUCUUUACUGGACCAGGAGGUGCGUCUCCCCCAGUUGACGGUCCCGUCGGGUGCAGGUUGCGUCUACCCGAUAUUUGGGAUAGCGUCAGUGAGUUAUUGUUAACCAAAGGGUUAACCAAAAGAAUUGGGUAAUUUCAGUGAGAGCAUGCAUGCAUAUUUACAGUUUUCAUAUACUACUUCUUUCAGCUUUGCACAGGCAUUGUAGUAGUUACAUGUUAUAGCUGGUUACUAUCUGUUUACUUUUCUUGCCUACAUAUGCCUGAAUAGACCUAGUGGGUGAGUCGGCGAGGUCGGCGGCCGAACCCACUGGGAACUUUUAGUAGUUCUCACACCACUAACCAUACAGGUUCCAGCGCGAGCGGUAUGGCCGAGGAUCGCGGCAAGAGCUCAGCAGCUUAGCUAGUGGACACCCGUGUGCUAGUAGCAUACCAUUUUGAGUUCAUGUGAGAUAUUUUGAUGUACAGAGACAUGUAAAUGAAUGUAUUAAAGAGCAUGUAUAUAACUAAAUGUUUCAGUUAUUCAGUUCAGUUUAAAAGUUUUAAAUGAUAGUGCAUUUCAUUUAUAGUUAGUUACUUUCACUUGUGCUUGUAGCUUGCCCUCGUGCAAACCAUGUAUAUUGAAAUGUCAUCCUGAAAAUUGUUUAUUUCUUUAUACAUGUACUCGUUGUUGUUGAGCCUUGGGCGGACAGAGGAGGUUCUGUCCGUUCGGCGUCUGUGUACGGGCCCGGAUCGACCAAAUUGGCGAUAGCGGGAUGUGACAGAUAAAGUGGUAUCAGAGCAACGCAAGUGAAAUUAUAGGAUGGACCUAGGGACCUUAGGAUGGAAAACCAUAAGGAUCUAGCUUCGUGAGAGACGAGAAUUUUGGUAAAUGGCGAAAGGUUAAACCGAUUGGGUUAUGUGUUGUAUACCUCUAUAAAGGAUCUUAGAGGUAGAUUUAAGGAAUAGUGUAUUCUCAACAGGGAGUGUUCAUGUUGGGUGCACACAAUAUGAAACCGAGUGAUGAGAAUAGGCUUCCUUGUAUGACUUUCGCCUGAUUUGAGUCGUGUUGACGAUAGUUGUUUCGUGUUUGACCUUGAAGGUCAAGAAUCGGUCACGUUGUUACGCGUUUAGUGGUCUCGUGUAGUUGAUCUCUAAUGAGAUCGAUAUGGUUCGGGAUAAGUGGAAUCCUUGAAUUGACCGAACUUGAUGGAAACUUGAAACUUUGGGGUCUGUUAGUCACACCGUGGUAGGGUUGUGACGAUGAAAAGUCGUAGUGCAAUGUCAGCGAGAGGCUGUUGUAUAUUUGGUGGAUUGAGUCAAUGGACUCCAGAGGACGGUGGAGUAGUUGGAUAACCCUUGUGGCCUUCAGGAAAGUAUAGUCCAUCUGUUGUGGAUGAAGAAAUAUUUGUGCGUCGAGAAUCUAUGAUUUGGAGUCAGGGAAAUCUUCCAUGGAAGGAUUUGUGUAUCGAUGACAGGAUACAGAGUUGUUGUUGGAAUUAACGACAAGUGAGCUUCAAGAUAAGUCGUGGGGGCUAUAGCAGGGUGCCUGCUCGGUGAAAAGUACGUAGAAAGAUUUUCUGCAUGCUAUGUUGUGAUUAGUGCACAGUGUGAGGUAUUAGAGACAAGGCCGGUUAUAAUAUGUGGAGACUUCGAUAGAAGGAUUGUUGGAGUUGUAUACUCUCCUAGUUCACAAAUUUCUGAUGAAGUGUUGGAUUGAAUCUUGUGGUUGAAGUUAGGUGGUAUCUCGUGCAGAAGGGGCGCAAAUGAAUUAGUGAAGAUGGGGGAUGAGCGACUGAUGUAUGGUUCGGGUGGUCAAUCGAGUGUUAAGCGACACCUGGAAGAGAGUUGCAGUCGUCAUCCUAGAAUUCAGAAAGGUCUAAUGACUGGCCUUUUUAUUUGAGAGGACUGGUUAUGAUAACUUUCACCGGCAAGGCCGUGUGUAUUGUUGGUUAUAGUAAAUUGACUUCAGUAGGAAGAUUGUAUACUUGGGAACGAGGUGAACUCCAAACAGUACUUGCAAGAGUGUGAUAGAGACUUGGAUUUGAUGACCCUAGCAUACAAGUAUGAAGAGAAUGUAUCAUCUAUUGUGGAAUAGAUGGUUGGAUAGUGCUAUUGGGGCUUGAGAUAAAGAUGGAAAUGGUGAACCUACUCUUUAAAGCAUUCGGAUGAUAUUCCGAGAAAUUGAGUAAUGGUAAAGGCGUCGUUGUUGUGGUGUGAUUAGACUAUCACCUAGUUUUGGCGAGUCGGUCGAGCUGUACCUCAAAUAAGUUGAGAGAAUUUGUGUUUACAUAUUAGAGGCCUAGGCUGAGUUGCCUAGCGGGUGAUAUCUAAUGAAAGAUGCGAUAGUAUAGGACACUUGAGUUUAGUUGUCCGUAGAGUGUGGAUUGUGGCUCAGCCAAGAGAGUGUGUUGGCAGUAGCACGUGAGCGUUGCUAGGUGUGAAGCGUGCCAUGGAUCACUCGCGGGGCUAGUAGCUCGCACUAAGUACUUAGGAGCCGAUAGUAAUGUGGAUUGCUCGAUAGGACAUGUCGUGUGUGACGACCGUUGAGGAUGUAGCUUGAGGACGAUCCGUGCCUGGAUAAUGUGUGGACCUUAGAGCCUAAGGCCAUUCGAAUAGGCGCAGUCGGCUGUGUGUGACAGUGGCCCGAUACCUAUAGGUAGGGCAGAGAUUCUGAUCGGGGCGGUAGUCCGAGCUUAGAUCAGUGAUGUGGUGUGCCACAUAUUGGAUCGUGGGAUGAGUGAUACAUCGAGAGUGUGAAUUUGAUCCAACCUCAAGAUUGUAGGGGUUUGGAAUUUGGAUUGCUCCUAGUUGGAGUAGGUAUUUGAGACUUUACCUCAUGAUGAUUGGGUCUGCGCUUGCGAGCGAGAGACGCUGUGUGAUAUAGCGAUUGAGCUAGGCGAUAGACCUAUGUCGGAUUGGUGGCUUGUAAAUCAAUUUAUGAUAAUUGGGACAAGCGUUUAACCACUUGCUCUAGAAAUGCAAGAGUCGGUGUAGUAUUGUGAAUAGGGGGAUAGUGGCCCUAGGAGUGGGGGCUCGGUCCUACUGUUUGCCUGUUUUGAAUCGCCGAGUUAUGCGCUGUUGAGGAGUUAAGAUUAGAGGCACGAACGAAAGUGUUCAUGGAGACUCGUUGCGAGAGAUUGGUAUAAUGCAAACGUGGCUGGAAAAGUAAAAGAUUUUCUUUGAGAUUAUUGUGUAGUGGAAGCCACGUGAGAUCUUGGAGAAUUAUGCCUUCAAAUCAUUAGAGUGUGGAGAUGUUAGAAUGAGCCCUUUGUCGAGGAGUGGAAAUUUGUGGGUGAUGGAACACUCACAAUUGAGUGGUGUACUGUGAUAUCGCAGGUAGCGAUGCCAGGUGAGAAAUGAAAUAGAUUCCAUCGGAGAGUAAUGGGUAUAGUAGAUGUUACCUAAUAAGUUUGUAUAUGAAUCAAGGUAGUCUACGGACUUUUUGAGUAAGCGCCAUGCAGGAAUGAUCCCCACUGUAAGAAAAAAAAAAAAAAACAGAUAGUACUAUUCUUAGAAGUAAAGUGAUGUUUAUUGGUAUGAAUUGGUUAUCAUCUAUUGAUGAUAAGAAUGAUAACACGAGCAUGUUAAGUUGAUGGUGCGGAUAGUUGUUGAUUGUAUGAAAAGAAUGCUAAUUCUAAAGCAUGUCAUUAAGUGAGAAUUAAAUUGGCAUAAUAACCAAGGCAAAUAAGUCUUUGAUAGUAAAUGAGACUAGAGUAUAGUAAGUCAUUGAAUGUUGACUUGUAUUGCCAUUGGAAGUUAGAGAACAUAUAAUAAUCAGCAGGAAGAAUAGGGCAUAUUCUGGAUGUGCUCGAUUGAUUAUUAGGAUGAUUGGCACAAGUGGUUACCAAAAAUUGUGAGAUUAUGGUGCCCAACCUAAGGAAUUAGAGUAACCCCUAUUUACUAGGGGAUGGUGAACAUAAGAAAAUUGCUCUGGGAUGUGAAGUAUACAAGAAAAUGCACAAUGAAUUUCAAAUUGAUUGAACAGAACUCCUCAUUUGUUCCAAGGGAGAACUAUAGAAUUACUAGAGAAAAUAACUUGGAAAUAGUGUCAAUUGUGCAUUUUGGAUUUGUGUGAAUGAGGAAAGUGCAGAAUAGUAUAAUUCUGUAUAUUGGUGAGUGUUGGACCCUAUCUUCAUAUGUUUAACUGGAUGAAUGAAGAUAUGUAAGUGUAUCUAAGUUUCGCGGACGAAACUUUUGUUAACGGGGGGAGAUUGUAAUAUAUGGAAAAUUUGAGUUGCGAUGCUAACUUUCUUCUGGAAGAUCAAAGUGAAGUUUGAAUUGGAUGUGUAUCAUUCCAGAGUGUUUUGGGAUGUGUGGGAAUGAUCUCUAAAUGUAAUUGAGUAUUCGGGCACAAAUCGGGCACGAAAUAAACUUGAAAGGGGAUUUUUGGAUUAUGACGCUAACUUCGACCUACGCGAUCAAAGUGAGAUAUGAAUGUUAAUUAUAGUAACUCCGAAUUAUUUUGGAAGUGCGAGGAUAGUUAAUGGCAAAUUCGGAGAUGCUUAGAUGUAAUAUGUCGGAUUUUGGUUAUGUUGCUAAGCUUGAUCAAAUGGAUCAAAAUAAUGCCAAAAUAAAAUUGGGUUGUUUCCGAGCUUAAUUGGUAGCUUCGGCAUCGUAUUUAGUAUGUUUUGGAAGUGUUGGGAUGGACUCGGAGUGAAUUAGAUGCGCAAAAGGAGCUGAAAAUCUGCUGCUGCCAGCUGCUGUUAGUGCAGGGACUGAACUGUAAAGCUGCAAGGACUGUUGGACUGUUUUGUAAACAGAAUUACUGUUUUGUAAAGGAGAUAAUUACAGCUUUGUAGUGGGGUUUAGUUGCAGUUUUUUUUUGGUCUUAUCUACAGCCAGCUCAGCCCCAAUUGCUACGUGUUGAGAAAUCUCCUCUCCUCUCAUCUUCUUUUCGUUUCUUUCUCUCUCUCUCUAAACUCUAAGGUUGGCCGGUUGAUGGUUGAAGAAAGAAGGAUUUUGGAGCAGGGAAAAGCUUGGUAGAGCUGAAUUUCAAGGUAACUUUGAUCAAAUCCUGGUUAGAGUUGAGUUAUUUACCUUCACAGGAAGUUAGUUGGAGUUUCAUGAUAAUUAAAGUGUAUAGAAAGCUUAAGAAAGCUGUAUCAUGGACAGCACAUAGGUAUUUCCUGGAUUAGAAGUGAAAUUGAAUGAGAAACCAUGCAAUUCCUGGUUUGAGGGUUAUGUAUUUACAUUCUAAAGAGAUCUAAGCCGCAGAUUUAAGUAUUAGAGCUCUUAAUACCAUGAGAAGGCUUAAGGGAAAUUUCAGGGCAGCUUGUAUGUGGAGUUAUGUUUGUGAAUUGUAUGUUAAAGAAAGAAAUCUGCUGUGAAUGAACCUUAAUUAUUGAACAAGAGUGAUGUUAAUCACUGCAUAAAGAGGUUAAAUCAUGGAUAAUUUAGCAUAUAGGGAUUUAAUUAUGCUGAAAACUGCAUAUAUGUAUAUAUGGAUAUAUAUAUAUAUAUAUAUAUAUAUAUAUAUAUAUACACAUAGAAGGAAUGGUUAGAGUAAAAUCUAAAAUAGAUUACCUCUAAACCUAGUUAUAGAUGAUUCCCUGCUGUGUAAAGAAGUUAAGUAAAGGGUUCCUAUGAGCUGAAUUAGAGAACUAACUAGAUGUAUAUGUAUAUUGAUACUAUGCAUACAAAUUGAGUUAGUUAGCCUGGAGAAGAGUUAGAUAAAGAGUUCUUGGCUGCUAGGACUUGAAACUUGGUGAGUUGGUGGGCAGAUUAGUGUGUUUGGUCUUGUUGGAGCUGCCGAAAUGGGAAGCUCAACCUGGGAAGCUUCGAACCUGAGGUAAUUAGUUACUUCUCAGCUGUGGUGUAAUUUAAUUGCUCAUUGAGAGAGAUUCUUAGGUGAAUUAAGUCGUAGAAGCUUAAUAAACCCUGUUGGGAGCAGAUAUGUAUAUAUGAUGGUACUUAUUAAUGAUUGUUGGCAGAAGAGGAAUUGUGAGCUGCUGCCUUGAUGCAAGUUCUGGGCGCCCGAAAUUGAAAAGGAAUUGAGGAGUUGGCAGCUUGCUGCCUGAUUGUGAUGGGAGGAGCAUCCGAAUUGAGGGGCCAGUAGUUGAAUCAUUGAAAUCUGAGGUAAAAGAAAACUUAAUUACUGCUGGAAUUAAUACUUGAAGUUAUACAAGAACUACAUAGAUGUAUGUAUGUAUGUACAUGUAGGUGUAUAUGUGCAGAAUGGUAAGGAGUGAAACCUGGAAUAAGUCAAUCUUAAUUCCUGAAUUGGUAUAAUGUUAAUUGCUGUAAGGAAAUGUUAAGUGAGGAACCUUGGAAGUAUUGAAGCUUCUAAGCAUCAUGAGCUUAUAGAAUCAGCUCUAUGUUAUAUACACAUGUGUGUAUAUGUAUAACUUAGAACUAAUUGUUGGAAGACAAAGUAUGAAGUAAAGUUAUUCUAAACCUGUUAAGUGUAGAGCUACUAAGAAAAUUGAUAGUAAGACUAUGUAUAUGUUGAUAUUAUAUACAUAUAAGUAAGUUGAGGUUAAAAUGCAAGUAGAGACAGAUUGGUCUCUUUCCCUAUUUUGAACUAUAUUGAUUACUCUAUAAGAAGUUUGAGAGCAAUGGAAUUGCUGAAUGGAAUUGGUACUAGUUACUGUGUAAGAAGUUAAGUUAUAUGUAAGAUAGUUAAUGUGUGAGCUAUGAAUUAAAUUGAAGUAGAACCUGUAGCAGAAUUGUAAUGUUAACUAUUAAGAUUGAUGUUACUACUUAAAGAGAGUUAAGUAUGAGUUAUUUUAACUUCUGAAAUCUUAAUCUGCCAUAGAGAAUUUAAUAAAAGAGUAUAUGUAUAGAGGUAUUAACACUAUACCUAUAUAUAUAUAUAUAUAUAUAUAUAUAUGCAAGUUAAAGUCGAAAUGCAAAGUUGUAGAAGAUGUGAAUGUAACUUCGGUUUAAUCUCUUUUAUUCCUUUCUAAAUGAAGGUCAGACGUGCUCGGAAGUUCGAAUUGAUAUUCCGACGGACCUACGAUGCGUGAAUUAAGAAAUGCUUCGUUCUAGCCCUAUUCGCAUCGAGUCGCAUAGACUAAUGUUUGUACGGUUCGUGACGUUGGUUCUAGUCUUUGACAUCACUACAGGUGGGUGGUGCUAUCCGAAGUCUUUGAAUCACCUUUUAUGUCUAUGGUUUUCCAUUGAGCAUAUUACUUGUAUUCAUGCAUCAUAGGGUAGUGAUAUUAUGCAAGUGAUAUUUGAAUAUGUGAAUGCUUAUCAAUGUUGAGAAAAUGUGAACUUAGAAUGUGGACAUGGAACCCUAUGAAUGUAUGGACUAUAGCAAUAGUAAACUUGGGGACAUUCAACUAGAGAUUUGGUUAGCAUCAAGAAAUGGAAUUGUGAAACUAGUAUAAAGAACUAGUUAGAGUAAAGUGUGACAGUGUUUGUCAGUUGAAUCCUCUAAAGGGGGAUCAGAUCAUACUCACAUUUGUUUGGUUCAAGUGAGGUCGCUCCUCCUUGAACGAUGAGCUCCGGAGUAGUCAUCUUUACUGGACCAGGAGGUGCGUCUCCCCCAGUUGACGGUCCCGUCGGGUGCAGGUUGCGUCUACCCGAUAUUUGGGAUAGCGUCAGUGAGUUAUUGUUAACCAAAGGGUUAACCAAAAGAAUUGGGUAAUUUCAGUGAGAGCAUGCAUGCAUAUUUACAGUUUUCAUAUACUACUUCUUUCAGCUUUGCACAGGCAUUGUAGUAGUUACAUGUUAUAGCUGGUUACUAUCUGUUUACUUUUCUUGCCUACAUAUGCCUGAAUAGACCUAGUGGGUGAGUCGGCGAGGUCGGCGGCCGAACCCACUGGGAACUUUUAGUAGUUCUCACACCACUAACCAUACAGGUUCCAGCGCGAGCGGUAUGGCCGAGGAUCGCGGCAAGAGCUCAGCAGCUUAGCUAGUGGACACCCGUGUGCUAGUAGCAUACCAUUUUGAGUUCAUGUGAGAUAUUUUGAUGUACAGAGACAUGUAAAUGAAUGUAUUAAAGAGCAUGUAUAUAACUAAAUGUUUCAGUUAUUCAGUUCAGUUUAAAAGUUUUAAAUGAUAGUGCAUUUCAUUUAUAGUUAGUUACUUUCACUUGUGCUUGUAGCUUGCCCUCGUGCAAACCAUGUAUAUUGAAAUGUCAUCCUGAAAAUUGUUUAUUUCUUUAUACAUGUACUCGUUGUUGUUGAGCCUUGGGCGGACAGAGGAGGUUCUGUCCGUUCGGCGUCUGUGUACGGGCCCGGAUCGACCAAAUUGGCGAUAGCGGG